rnacentral:rRNA from 1 species
GACGAACGCUGGCGGCGUGCCUAAUACAUGCAAGUAGAACGCACAGUUUAUACCGUAGCUUGCUACACCAUAAACUGUGGGUUGCGAACGGGUGAGUAACGCGUAGGUAACCUGCCUGGUAGCGGGGGAUAACUAUUGGAAACGAUAGCUAAUACCGCAUAAUAUUGAUUAUUGCAUGAUAAUUGAUUGAAAGAUGCUAUUGCAUCACUACCAGAUGGACCUGCGUUGUAUUAGCUAGUAGGUGAGGUAACGGCUCACCUAGGCGACGAUACAUAGCCGACCUGAGAGGGUGAUCGGCCACACUGGGACUGAGACACGGCCCAGACUCCUACGGGAGGCAGCAGUAGGGAAUCUUCGGCAAUGGACGAAAGUCUGACCGAGCAACGCCGCGUGAGUGAAGAAGGUUUUCGGAUCGUAAAGCUCUGUUGUAAGAGAAGAACGGGUGUGAGAGUGGAAAGUUCACACUGUGACGGUAUCUUACCAGAAAGGGACGGCUAACUACGUG